CCGACGGUGAGGGGCGAAGGCUGGGGGCGCAAACCGGAUUAGAGUACCCGGGUAGUCCCAGCAGUAAACGAUGCCAGCUAUGUGUUGCUGGAACCAUGGGUUCCAGCAGUGCCGAAGGGAAGCCGUGAAGCUGGCCACCUGGGAAGUACGGUCGCAAGGCUGAAACUUAAAGGAAUUGGCGGGGGAGUACCACAACCGGUGGAGCCUGCGGUUUAAUUGGAUACAACGCCGGGAAUCUUACCGGAGGGGACAGCAGUAUGAAGGCCAGGCUAAAGACCUUGCCAGAUCAGCUGAGAGGAGGUGCAUGGCCGUCGCCAGUUCGUACCGUGAGGCAUCCUGUUUAGUCAGGCAACGAUCGAGACCCGCAGUCUUAUUUGCCAGCAUGCCCUUUGGGGUGUAUGGGUACAAUAAGACGACCGCCAGCGCUAAGCUGGAGGAAGGAGCGGGCUACGGUAGGUCAGCAUGCCCCGAAUCCUCCGGGAUACACGCGGGCUACAAUGGUCAGGACAAAAGGUACCGACCUCGAAAGAGUGAGGUAAUCCACAAACCUGAUCUCAGUCCGGAUCGAAGGCUGCAACUCGCCUUCGUGAAGAUGGAAUCGGUAGUAAUCGUGACUCAAAAUGUCACGGUGAAUAUGUCCCU
rnacentral:rRNA from 1 species